GUCUUUGCCGUCCGGGAGACAUCGAACGCCGCCUACGGCAAGCACGGCGUACACGAGGCGUAUAUUCGGAUGCAGUAUGAGCAGAGCAUGGGUCCCGAAGAAUUCCUCAGAAACUAGAGAAAUUCUCGGACACACACGACGGGUACACGGACGUAUACAUAGAUAUAAAAGACUAGAUGGGACAUUGGCAGUGUUUUAGUGCGUGCGACUGGCCGCCAUGUUUGUGAGGGCGGGAAUCUGCGGCGCUGUGUAAACACUACGGGAGGAGGGGGGUAUUUGAGACUGAUUUUGUGGUAUUUUUCGACCGAAAAGUGCUAAUCUUUUUUGCUCACGGCAUUCUUUGGAAUGUGUAGAUUGUGGAACAAGUGCUGAAAUAUGCUUAUCUAUUGUAAUUUGGCUACGUUAGCCUUAGACAUAUUGCACUGUUGACGCUGAUGAAGAAUAGGCGGCACCAAAGCUUUAAAGACUAGUAUCUUUUGAAAUUGAAAUUUGCCUCUCAGUCUCUCAAGAAUCAAGAUGCCAAAUAGAUGUGCAGGAUUUGAUUGCUGACAAACCAGGGAUGAGGCUUAAGAGUCAAGAGAUCACCCUGCAUUGGCAAGUGGCUGGAACAACCCCAGUGCCGCACAGUUCUGCGGGAUAUUCCGGCACCUGCUCCACCGCUGCGGCGUCCGGCCCGGCAGCACAGGGAAAGUGGCAGCCCUCGACCCGACCAGCAUCCUGGCAGUCGGUCACACGACCAGCGGACGGGGAGCCAGCCUUACUACCUCGGCCUCCACCACCUCAGACAACGGUGCCACGGCACUCCACAUCAUCACGGAGCACGACUUCCAGCCUGGGCUGUCGUCUGGUGGGCAACAUCGUCACCUACAUCGCAGGGUUCGUGGUGAAGAAGGCGCUCGACUCUGUCAGCUGUAGCACCUGUCAGGAGGCCCUGGUGAGCGACAUCCAGCCGGACGACAUGACACAGCUUUACCACCUCUUCAUCAUCUCUGCCAGAUGAGCUAAGGUGGGGACGGGUUACAUGCCUGGGAUCUGACUGAGACCCGCUCAUACCCUGCCGAAGUGUUGGUGAUUUCAGCGGUCAGCUGUCUCUAGCCGGUGUCAGUGAGUCGCGGCCAGCUGCCGCUGGAGUGGGUAUCUACCGUCGAUAGCUGCUGUGUGGCGGAUAGCGUGGAUUUGGAUGGACACUUCAUAUUAAUGAACAGAUCAAUGUCUGGCCGAUAAAAGACGUAUUUUGUCGAUGAUUGCUUAGUGACUGAGUGGGUCCACUGGCGACCAAUGCAGUGGGCGCUGGGUUAACGCCUCGCCUCUUGUGACCGUGUCGAUAUGUAGCACUGUUAAUUGCCGAUUCGUUGCCGGCCGUCUCUGCUCCGUGGCUGGCUGAUCCGGCACAAACUGGUGUUCGUGGCUGAAGGCGCGGCUACAGUUACACUAGGUCGCCACGUGCCUGUGCGACUAUCGUCGGUGCUGUCUGCAAGGGCGAUGUCGGUGCCUGUAGGGGGCGCGGAUUGAUUCAAAGUGAGGAAUGGGUCAUCGGAGCUCGGGUCAGGUCAUGUUCGGCUAAAAUAAGCGGAUUUUGCGAUUUGCCGCAUCCGGGUGAAUUUCCUUGCCUUCUAGUGCAUGUUUAUGCAUUUUACAUGCGUUUUUUUUUUUUAGUGUUGAUGACAUGUCUAGAUAACGUGCAUUUGCCUCGAGGUCAAGGCUGCGCUUCAUAUGGGCAGUUUUCGGAGCAUCUUGCUCAUUUUAUUCGUAAUCCUUAAUUAUGUUUGCGAAUUUGUGCCCGCAAAUCAUUUUUUAAAGUAAGAUUGACACGGGAUUCGAGAUCGGCGCCCAUAAAUACACUUCACAUGACC